rnacentral:lncRNA from 1 species
ACCUACCUGACGUGUACACCACUCAAUCAUCCUCCGGCAGGGGUUUUACAAUAAUAAAAACAGAAAUUAAACAUCCCCCAAUCGAAUACAAAUUCGAGCCCAAUAUAUGAUGCAGAAUUUUUAUGAACUUCACCAACAACUAUGAUCUGAUUUUUAACUUUAGAUCAAACAGAAUAUGUAACGCAAAUUCAGAUCUGGAAGAUUGGUAUUCAAGCGUUACCUCCUUGAAGGAAUAUAUCUCAAUGAAAGCACGAAUUUGAUGGGGGCUCACGGUCCAAAGCCCCUCACCAAGCCCCUUUCCUUGCGCUCCUCGCGUGCGCCUUCGAAAUCGAUGAUGAUGGACCGAUUGUAGGCAACACCCGGUGGAAUAACUCAAGAAGAAGAUCAACAAUGAAAGCAAACUUGAUUUAUAUUCCACUAAAUUGAAGAACGAAGAACAAUAAUAAAGAAAGCAAAAGAAAUCUAGAAAGAGAUUGAAGAGAUCUCUCCCUAGCCCAAUCUAGUGGAGAUUGAUGGAUCU